rnacentral:lncRNA from 1 species
UUUAACCCUAAUUUCACAACUAUCCAAAUUCUCAGUUUCAAUNNNNNNNNNNNNNNNNNNNNNNNNNAGCUCUCAGCGUAGAGAGGUGGCUACAUUGAGUACUCGUUCGGCACAGCUAGAGGCUGACCUGGACAUGACCAAAAGACAGCUAUCUACUGAGCGGUUUGAGAGGGAGAGGGCAGUGCAGGAGCUGCGUCGUCAGGGUCUGUCGUCAUCGUCCUCUGGACUGCAUCCCUCCUCCCCUCACCUGCGUCGCUCCCUCAGCCCCAGCAGGCCUCUGUGGUCCACCCCAGACCACCUGGCCAGAGAGAGAUCCCCAGAGAGGUGGGCCCCCUCCCUGAACACCUCACACUGAAUACAGCACACAUAUAUUUCUACAUCUCAGUGUGUGUGUGUGUGUGUGUGUGUGUGUGUGGUGACAGGAGCCUGGGGUUCAAGGACCUCUACGACUGAACAGAUCUCUCUCUAGAGGAAAGAUAACCCAACCUUCUCUCUAGUCCUCACUGUGCUGUGAUGUCAUUCUUCAACUCAAACCUGUGAUGUCAUGAUCAGGACCUCAGGUUCAGAACAACCCUCCUAGACCGGAAAUAGUUUCAACAAGUGUUAUCUCAAAUGUAUGUUUUAUUACAUUGUACAAAUGAACUGACAUCACUGUGUUUGGUUGUGUAUUGAUCUGUAAAAUGAGUGACCAUUCAGUAUAUUUUUGAUGAAGAUUUGAUUCAAAUGAACUACAGCUAAAAGAGGGAAAUGAUGUUCUUUCAUUAAUGUAUUCUAUUUUUUGUAAACAUUUCUGAGAGAAGGGCUUUAAUAAAAAUAAUAAUUUUUGUUCUGGUUUACUUUUCAGUCAUAAGUCAGUUGAACCUUGCAGAAUGGUACUGUAGGCUACAUGUUCAACUGGCCACUCAGUGUGUCUCUUCCCCUGGGUUGCUUUGUUCUCUAAAUCAUAGAUGGGAAACUGGUGGUCUGUACAACCCCCCUUUUGUAGGCCCGCGGAUCAAUUUACAAAAUGUGUUAUUUUGAUUUAUUGUUGCUGGGGUCUCAACUUACUGUUGAGAGUUAGAAUAGUAGACGGUGCAAUUAUGCAUCAGUAGUUUUUCUCUUGUAAUGUCAGUCACUGACGGUC